GACGAACCGUCCAAACGUUGUUCGGAAUCACUGGGCUUAAAGGGCGCGUAGGCGGGUUCCCAAGUCGGUGGUGAAAUCUUUCGGCCCAACCGGAAAAGUGCCGCCGAUACUGGGGACCUCGAGGGAGGUAGGGGUCGAGGGAACUUCCGGUGGAGCGGUGAAAUGCGUAGAUAUCGGAAGGAACACCGGUGGCGAAAGCGGCUCACUGGACCUCUUCUGACGCUGAGGCACGAAAGCUAGGGUAGCAAACGGG
rnacentral:rRNA from 1 species